CCAGACCCUCAUGGCUAUCUUCUUUGAGAUUGAUAUGUGCCCAGCCUAUUACCAGCAAGAGUAUCUACACAGACAGCUCCAUGGGAUGGUGGAAGAAGCACUUCACUGCCUUUUUAAUAACAUCUUCUUUGUGAAGUUUCCCUUAUCCUUCCAAGUUUCACAUAUGGAUGACCUGGCUAGACAAAAGAAGGCUAAAGCAUGUUUUAUUCAAGUGCUUCAGGAGGUGGGUACUUUUGCUACAUACCAUUAACUCUUAAUAUUUGAGAUGGCAUAUGCUCAUUUUAAUCAUA
rnacentral:lncRNA from 1 species